rnacentral:rRNA from 1 species
GUUUAUCAAAAACAUGUCCUUUAGAGUUAAGUUUAAGGUNUGNCCUGCCCACUGAUAUAUUAAAUGNCCGCAGUAUUUUAANUGUGCAAAGGUAGCAUAAUCAUUAGUUUUUUAAUUGAAGACUUGUAUGAAGGGUUGGACAAGAUAUAUAUUGUUUCAUAUAAAUUUAUAGAAUUUUAUUUUUUAGUUAAAAAGCUAAAAUUUUAUUAAAAGACGAGAAGACCCUAUAGAUCUUUAUAGUUAUUAAAUUUUAUUUAUUAAGAAUAUUUUAUAUUUAAUUUGAAUAANUAUUUUAUUGGGGUGAUAGUAAGAUUAAUUUAANUCUUAUGUGAUUAANACAUAAAUUAAUGAUUAGUUGAUCCAAUAUUAUUGAUUAAUAAAAUAAGUUACCUUAGGGAUAACAGCGUAAUUUUUUUGGAGAGUCCAUAUCGAUAAAAAAGAUUGCGACCUCGAUGUUGGAUUAAGANAUAAGC